GUCCUCCCAACAGAACAAACCCCCCGGCGUAAAAUGCGCCAAGGAAUCUUAAAUGAAAAGAGAAGGUAACCAGCACCCUAGCGUGCCGGGAAACGAAUUUGCCAGGGGCGCUGGUUUCCUUUGUUAAAAAAUUAAUGAAUUUUCGCCACCGAUUUUCUGGCUUUUCCCUUCAUUAAAAAACUUACCAAAUGGCAUUCUUGGGGGUAAUUGGAGAAUCCCGUGGACCAUUCAAUUUUUGAACCCAAGUUGCGCCCAAAGGCUUUCGGGCCAAGGGACGUUUGGCUGGGGGGCAUGGUCCGGUGGCCCCUUCAAAUUCCUUUGGGGGGAAAAUCGAAUUAGGGGGGAAAAUGGGCUUCCCGGGGGCCCCGGUUCGGGGUGGGCCAAAUUUGAAUUCUUUGGGAAUAUGGCCCC
rnacentral:rRNA from 1 species